GAAACUGCGAAUGGCUCAUUAAAACAGUUAUAGUUACUUGAUAGUCAGCUGUUAUACGGAUAACUGCGGUAAUUCUGGAGCUAAUACGUGCACAAAGACCUGACUUCUCGGAAAGGUCGUGUUUAUUAGAUACAGAACCAAUCCCCUCGGGGUUUUUGGAUGAUUCAUAAUAAAGGAACGGAGCGCAUGACUUGUGUCGGCGCUGUUUCAUUCAAGUUUCUGACCUAUCAGCUUCCGACGGUAGGGUAUUGGCCUACCGUGGCAUUGACGGGUAACGGAGAAUUAGGGUUCGAUUCCGGAGAGGGAGCCUUAAAAACGGCUACCACAUCUAAGGAAGGCAGCAGGCGCGCAAAUUACCAAUCCUGAUACAGGGAGGUAGUGACAAGAAAUAACACAGAGAGUGCUUAUUGCAUUUCUCUUUGGAAUGAGUAGAAUUUAAAUCUCUUUUCGACUAUCAAUUGGAGGGCAAGUCUGGUGCCAGCAGCCGCGGUAAUUCCAGCUCCAAUAGCGUAUAUUAAAGUUGUUGCGGUUAAAAGCUCGUAGUUGGAUUUCUGUCAGAAACUCUCGGUCCACGCUUUGCGUGAGUAUCUGAGUAGGUUCCGGCAUCCUCUAGAGGAUCGUUUCUGCGCUUGAUUGCGUGGAGCGGAACUCUAGACUUUUACUUUGAGGAAAUUAGAGUGUUCACGGCAGGCAAACGCCUUGAAUACAUUAGCAUGGAAUAAUAACAUAGGGCCUUGGUUCUAUUUUGUUGGUUUCUAGAGCUGAGGUAAUGAUUAAUAGGGAUAAUUGGGGGCAUUUGUAUUAACGCGUCAGAGGUGGAAUUCUUGGAUUGCGUUACGACAAACUACUGCGAAAGCAUUUGCCAAGGAUGUUUUCAUUGAUCAAGAACGAAAGUUAGGGGAUCGAAGACGCUUAGAUACCGUCGUAGUCUUAACCAUAAACUAUGCCGACUAGAGAUUGGAGGUCGUUUUUUUUAUGACUCCUUCAGCACCUUAUGAGAAAUCAAAGUUUUUGGGUUCCGGGGGAGUAUGGUCGCAAGGCUGAAACUUAAAGGAAUUGACGGAAGGGCACCACCAGGAGUGGAGCCUGCGGCUUAAUUUGACUCAACACGGGGAAACUACCAGGUCCAGACAUAGUGAGGAUUGACAGAUUGAUAGCUCUUUCUUGAUUCUAUGGGUGGUGGUGCAUGGCCGUUCUUAGUUGGUGGAGUGAUUUGUCAUUGCUUGAUUGCGGUAACGAACGAGACCUUUGCAUGCUAAAUAGCUGCUCGUAUCUUCGGAUAUUAGCUCAGCUUCUUAGAUGGACUCCGGGCGUCAAGCCCGUGGAAGUUAGAGGCAAUAACAGGUCUGUGAUGCCCUUAGAUGUUCUGGGCUGCACGCGCGCUACACUGAUGCGUUCAACGAGUGUACACCUUACUCGAUAGGGUUGGGUAAUCUUUUGAAAACGCAUCGUGAUGGGGAUAGAUUAUUGUAAUUAUUAAUCUUCAACGAGGAAUUCCUAGUAAGGGCUGUCAUCAGACAGUCCUGAUUACGUCCCUGCCCU
rnacentral:rRNA from 1 species